CGAGUUUAACAGUUGAUCGCAUGCGAAAGCAUGAGGAAAGUCCGGGCUCCAUAGAGCAGGGUGCUGGCUAACUACCAGUGAAGGCGACUUUAAGGAAAGUGCAACAGAAAUAAACCGCCUACUUUUGUAGGUAAGGAUGGAACGGUGAGGUAAGAGCUCACCAGCAUAUAGGCGACUAUGUGGCUAUGUAAACCCCACCUGGAGCAAGACCAAAAUAGGAGUUGGAGGGAGGCUGCUCGUUUCCCGUCCGGUAUGGUAGGUUGCUUGAGCCCAUACGGUAACGAUGGGCCUAGAAAGAUGAUCAAUCGCGACAGAACCCGGCUUAUCGUUAAACUCGAACC
rnacentral:RNase_P_RNA from 1 species